AACGAACGCUGGCGGCAGGCCUAACACAUGCAAGUCGAGCGAGGUUUUCGGACCUAGCGGCGGACGGGUGAGUAACGUGUGGGAACGUGCCCUUUGCUACGGAAUAGCCCCGGGAAACUGGGAGUAAUACCGUAUGUGCCCUUCGGGGGAAAGAUUUAUCGGCAAAGGAUCGGCCCGCGUUGGAUUAGGUAGUUGGUGGGGUAAUGGCCUACCAAGCCGACGAUCCAUAGCUGGUUUGAGAGGAUGAUCAGCCACACUGGGACUGAGACACGGCCCAGACUCCUCCGGGAGGCAGCAGUGGGGAAUCUUAGACAAUGGGGGAAACCCUGAUCUAGCCAUGCCGCGUGAGCGAUGAAGGCCUUAGGGUUGUAAAGCUCUUUCAGGUGGGAAGAUAAUGACGGUACCGCCAGAAGAAGCCCCGGCUAACUCCGUGCCAGCCGCCGCCGUAA
rnacentral:rRNA from 1 species